AUUGAACGCUGGCGGCAGGCCUAACACAUGCAAGUCGAGCGGAGCGGCGGACGGGUGAGUAAUGCCUAGGAAUCUGCCUGGUAGUGGGGGAUACCGUCCGGAAACGGGCGCUAAUCCCGCAUACUAUCUGAUGAGCCUAGGUCGGAUUAGCUAGUUGGUGGGGUAAAGGCCUACCAAGGCGACGAUCCGUAACUCGUCUGAGAGGAUGAUCAGUCACACUGGAAGUGGGACAGGGUACAGACUCCUACGGGAGGCAGCAGUGGGGAAUAUGGGACAAUGAGCGAUAGCCUGAUCCAGCCAUACCGCAUGUGUGAAGAAGGUCUUAGGAUUGAAAAGGACUUUAAGGUAGAAGGCGAUACCAACAGAAUAAGCACCGGAUAACUUCGAGCCAGCAGCCGCGGUAAUUC
rnacentral:rRNA from 1 species